AGGGUCUGUAAGUCUCGUUAACUUUCACUUUCGUUUUCUAACUUCCGGGUACUUGGGCGUUCUUGGAGACAAUGAAUUACCGCUUGGCAUUUAGUUUUAAGCCUCGCGGUGGACUAGCAGAGCCUGUCAUGUCGUUUGUUUCCUGAUUAUUGAAAAGAAGAGGAUAUAAUGGAUUGAUUGAUACAGGGAUCCAGCAGAUAUGGAAAAAGGGACAACAUUUCGACUGAAUGUGUCAUCCAUAUACCGGUUCUUGUGAAAAGUGUUUUAUUUGGCACCAUUCAGCUACAAAUACCCAAUGUAAUCUUUGCCGGUGGAAUUGUGACCUCAAUCAAGUGAAUCAACUGCUCAUGACACUGCUAAAUGGCAGAGAAUUUUCUUCUGAGACAAGCAGUUUGUUUCAAACAUUUUACACCUACAGUUAGUGAUGAUUGCAACAGAAGUUUUUAUCAGAAUCUCGUCCGACAUCAUAGGUACAACUGGUCACUGUGAUUUCUUAAAUAAGAGGACAUAUUGUGAAGGC